GACGAACGUUGGCGGCGUGCUUAACACAUGCAAGUCGAACGGAAAGGCCCUGCUUUUGUGGGGUGCUCGAGUGGCGAACGGGUGAGUAACACGUGAGUAGCCUGCCCUUGACUUUGGGAUAACUUCAGGAAACUGGGGCUAAUACCGGAUAGGAGCUCCUGCUGCAUGGUGGGGGUUGGAAAGUUUCGGCGGUUGGGGAUGGACUCGCGGCUUAUCAGCUUGUUGGUGGGGUAGUGGCUUACCAAGGCUUUGACGGGUAGCCGGCCUGAGAGGGUGACCGGCCACAUUGGGACUGAGAUACGGCCCAGACUCCUACGGGAGGCAGCAGUGGGGAAUAUUGCACAAUGGGCGGAAGCCUGAUGCAGCAACGCCGCGUGCGGGAUGACGGCCUUCGGGUUGUAAACCGCUUUCGCCUGUGACGAAGCGUGAGUGACGGUAAUGGGUAAAGAAGCACCGGCUAACUACGUGCCAGCAGCCGCGGUGAUACGUAGGGUGCGAGCGUUGUCCGGAUUUAUUGGGCGUAAAGGGCUCGUAGGUGGUUGAUCGCGUCGGAAGUGUAAUCUUGGGGCUUAACCCUGAGCGUGCUUUCGAUACGGGUUGACUUGAGGAAGGUAGGGGAGAAUGGAAUUCCUGGUGGAGCGGUGGAAUGCGCAGAUAUCAGGAGGAACACCAGUGGCGAAGGCGGUUCUCUGGGCCUUUCCUGACGCUGAGGAGCGAAAGCGUGGGGAGCGAACAGGCUUAGAUACCCUGGUAGUCCACGCUGUAAACGGUGGGUACUAGGUGUGGGGUCCAUUCCACGGGUUCCGUGCCGUAGCUAACGCUUUAAGUACCCCGCCUGGGGAGUACGGCCGCAAGGCUAAAACUCAAAGGAAUUGACGGGGCCCCGCACAAGCGGCGGAGCAUGCGGAUUAAUUCGAUGCAACGCGUAGAACCUUACCUGGGUUUGACAUGGAUCGGGAGUGCUCAGAGAUGGGUGUGCCUCUUUUGGGGUCGGUUCACAGGUGGUGCAUGCCUGUCGUCAGCUCGUGUCGUGAGAUGUUGGGUUAAGUCCCGCAACGAGCGCAACCCUUGUUCACUGUUGCCAGCACGUUAUGGUGGGGACUCAGUGGAGACCGCCGGGGUCAACUCGGAGGAAGGUGGGGAUGACGUCAAGUCCUCAUGCCCCUUAUGUCCAGGGCUUCACGCAUGCUACAAUGGCUGGUACAGAGAGUGGCGAGCCUGUGAGGGUGAGCGAAUCUCGGAAAGCCGGUCUCAGUUCGGAUUGGGGUCUGCAACUCGACCUCAUGAAGUCGGAGUCGCUAGUAAUCGCAGAUCAGCAACGCUGCGGUGAAUACGUUCCCGGG
rnacentral:rRNA from 1 species